CUUAGACGUUAAUGGUUCAGGAUUGUCAAGCCGCGGCCCAGCCCCCCUCACCCCAGAGCACCCAGCCUGUGAGCGCUCCGUGCAGGGCACCUCCCCGUGCUUGGCACACGCCUGCCCCGUGUCGGGGGGCUCAGCAAGAGGCGCGGGCACGGGGGGAGGGACAUUGCACAAGGAGCAGGAGGAGUGAAGCUCCAGCACAAAGAGGCUUGUACACCAGCCAACAUCUCGCCCAGCCCGGGGUCCCUGCGUCGCGGUUUCUCAUGGAAAUCAGAAGCAUCUUUUUGAUCCACAUCAAGAAUAGGGUUUAAGACAGGUAAAUGGAACCUUGCAUCAUUUCCAAUGCUCCCCGAAGGGAAUGCAGUAAAAACGCUGGUUUAGUUCUCUGCCUUUAAACCACCAUUUUCUCUAAAAUAUGGGAAUUAGGAGCAAUGCUGGGGGGAAAGGGACAGGGACGCGGAAGAGGGCAGAGAAAGUCCAGCCUAUCAAGGGGACUUUAGUACAUCCGUUCCUGUCUGCAAAGAGUUAAUCUGACAGAUGCUACCACCGAGCAUUUUGGGGUGCCAUUUUCACAUCCAUUAUUGCUCUGCCACCUUUUGCUUUGGAAAAUCUAACCCAACCCUGACAAUCAAGGCAAGUCUAGAAAUAAUGGGAUAUUUAAUUCCUAGCAGCUUCUCAAAACCCUAAGGAAUGCCCUUAUCUGCCUCUCUUAAAAAGACCAUAAUCAAACUAGUUACUGAAUGCCCAGCUAGUGCCAUAGGCAAAAGAAGGCUUGCUUCAGAGCCAGACUCAGCCACUCCUGGAGUGCAGUAACGUCCGACUGAAUUCAGAUUUCACACUCCGCCAGGAAUCAAAAUGAAGGAAUACAAAGUCCUGCUGUGGCAGAGUGAGGGGCAAUGCCCAGACAGGGGAAGCGUAGAACAGCACUGAAUGCCCAGAAUGUUGAAUCUUAGCAAUCAUGGUGUGUAAGUGGCUGUAACUCCGCCCUGAAGAAAGCCAUUCUCUCUCCCCACUCUGCUCUUCUGCUCACCUCCGCUCAUCACACAGGCUGCUCGUGUGACUUGACUCUUGUAGGGUGGGCUCUUGUUCCUUCGUGCAUUCUGCUCCUGCCGAGUGCAAAGCUGGGCUUCAGUCCUGGCUUCCUUUUUGUUUAUCCCUUGCUUAACCUGAACAAUACGGCUGCAUAUUCACAUCUGCCGCAUCCCCGCAUGCUACGCUAGCUAAAGCUCCCUGCAACCAAUGUAUACACAAGCCAACAGGCAGCCCAAGACUGCAACCAGAAAGCACAGUUCAGUGGUGCCCAAAACGAGCAUUUUGUUAACUGCCACCAGCAUGCUGUCAUUUAUUCUCUCCACUCGAUUCCCAGGAACACACUCCACUUAUGGCCCAACAAAGGGAGUGUGCUAAAGCUCUCAGUUCACUGGCAACAGGGCAAUUACCUACCUUUAGAGAACCCAACCUCCAUCUUACGGCCCCAUGCCGGGAAACCCUGUGCUACAUUUCUUACUGGCUUCCACUGUGUCUAUUCUAGCCGUGUGGGGCAACCUUCCUACGGACUCCCGAAGACGGCCCCAGGUCCUAUGGAUGAUCCUCAGUGCAUGGUGUUCAGCAAAUGCAUGCAUGCCGGGGCUUCCUGAGGAGAGCCAUUUUCAUACAGACGGCUAAUUGUUAGCUGGAAUAAUAAUAACUAGCUGACAGCUGUAUCCCAUCAGAGACUGUGCUGCAGUCAUCUCUGCCCAUUUCCAGAGGGGUUUAGCCAGGGCUCUUGUUGUUAUGUUCAUAUUGAUUUUGAACAUAAAUCGUCAGCAAAGUCAGACUCUAAUGGCUGCUGUCAGCUGACUGUAUUUCAGCUAAAUACAAAGGUGGGGCCAGACCCCAGUCACAGGUAUCCUGGGGUGAAUCCAGAGUAACUCUAUUGAAGAUGAAGCCUCUCGUGUAACUGAGAUCAGAAUCCGACCCAAACUCUCUGUAGCUUUACAGAAGAUUUCAAGGAGUGCAUGAGGCUGGGCGGGUUAGGAUAUUACGGUCUGAAAUGGGUAAUUGUUUGGUGUGGACUUUCUAUGCCUCCUUCAUACACACACCCGGGGAUAGCUGUGCAUGGGCUCCAGGAAACUCAGAGAGGCUCCUUUCUAGCACUGCUGUUGGGAAGAAGCUGCAGGGGGCUUAGGGGUAAUUUUCUGGGAGCUAGAUUCUGCCCCAAGUGACUAGCACGAGGUCCGUUGUCCUCUGCAAGUGAGCUCAGUGCUGGUGGUCAAUGGAGGAUGUCUAUGGCUUUGUCUCCUAGUGACACAAAGAGGAAACGGGUCCUUUUUCAGCAUCACUUCGGACACAGUGUAACAAAAGAUGCUUCAAUGGUUCUUGGCAUUCUGCCCCACCUGUCCCCAUGUUCACACCACACAGAGACACACACAUUGUGCAAAUGUGUAUACAAGUUACAGGUGGUCAAAACACCUGAUUGCAUCAAAAACGUUUUUUUGUUUUAUUUCCCCAAAAAAUCAAAUUUUGAUCAAAAAUGUAAUUGAAAAAUUGAAAUUCAGAAAAUUUGGACCAACUUUAACAAUCUAGUCAGCCCUGAAAACAACACAGGUGCGCACACACACAUCAGGUGGGGAAGCAGCUAGUUCAAGGGAAAUCUAGGCAGUGGACAGCAGCAGCAAAUGGAGAUACACAACUAUCUCGGAAUGGUUUCAGACCCACCCUCCCCUUUUCCUGCAGAGAAUCAGGUUUUGUACAGAUUCCACACCCCAGACUAAGGGCUGGCUCCCUCUUCCAGGGCACGGGCAUGGUUCCUUUUAUUGCCGUCUGUGAUAGUGUGAAUCACCGCAGCACGUGCCGUGCAGGUGUUAGUAGGAGUAGCCCUGUAGGAAGGCAAGACCAUGAGCACGGGUUCUGGAUCAUGGCACAAGUAGCCGGGGGAUCCAGCCCAAUGAGGGGCUGGCUUGUUGACUGAGGAGCUGCUGGUGUCUGGGAAUCAUCUCCUUUUGAUUAAGCAGUGUCAGCAAAGUGACUCCGGCGGCACGCGGGGAGCCAGGCUUUUGCUCUUCCUGAACGGAAGACCCAAUGCCCUGCCCCUCACCCCCAUCAGGACUGUCCCCCGCCCCGGGGCGUGCUAUGCAGCCGGACAGCAGGGAGCGCACAGCAUUGCGGCACGCCCAGCACUCCAGGGCUCAGAGCUACGGCCCCAAUUAGCUCGUGUUCCGCCUUCGUCUUCUCUCUCCUUCGGAAUGUAAAGCUGGCUCCUUCCUAAGUCAUGAAUGGAAGCCAGUCCAGCCAGCGCCCGAGUGACCAGUGAGCCCCGCUCUGACACCGCACGCGCCGCUGGCUGACGCCAUGUCUAAUGAAGAGGAUUUGAUCAAAUGAGAGCGAGCGACUCUGGAGAAAGCCGGGGGCUUGGCUUCUGCAUGCCCUAGCCCUGGAGAUGCCCAAGCCAAAGGGGCUCCUUUGGAGGGGACUUGCAUGCAGACAUGGACGGCGCCACUAGCCACCCCUUUCCUAGUCCAGUAGUGUCUUUGCUGUCACGUUUUCUCCUAGCUUAGGGUGGGGGUGGCCCCAGAGGACUGCAGUCCAUCCAUCUCUGUAUCCCCAGGGACAGAGCCAGUGUGGGACCUUUCUGUAGCCAGGAGAGGCUCUGCAGCUUCCUCUGAAAGCACCUUGCCCAGAAGAGGGGCCUAUAGCCCCUGCGCCAGCCCAGCCCAGGGACAGGGAGCCUCUGGCACAGUCUCCUCUGAGCCCCCGUUUCCCACAGGGCGGCAGAGCAUCGCAGGCAAGACUCUCCUGCUGGGGUGCUUAUUAGUGCGGGGCUUCCCUUCGGUGCCACCUGGACCCCAGGAACUGGGGAGCUGGGUGGCCGUGGAAGGUGCCGCAUGCUGUUCUCUUUUGCUGUGUUGGUUGCUUUCUUUUGCAGCUGCUAACGACUGACCUGAGGUCUGUUCACACACAGUCCCCUGCACGGCCAGAGCAGCAAGACAAGAUGGGGGGUUAUUUUACAGUGUUCUCGUAGCCAGUGGCACCAGAGACACCAGAUGUCUGCCUGAGGGAUGCGCCAUCUCGCUCCCCAGUGGGAUUCCUGAGCCCUGGCGACCCGAUGGCAGCGCUGUGGCGGUGCCCUGGCAAGGAAGGGGCAGCAGUGAGUCACCGCACCUCAAACUGGCACCAUGGGGAGCGGGUUUCUGUUCUUUGCCACAAAUCCCCAGGAGCCAGUGUGGCUCCAGAGAGGAUCACGCUGACUGGGCUGGCCUGUGAGUGUAGCCAUGAGGCUGCCUGCUCGGAGCUGCGGGAGCAGCACGCACAGGACACUGCCAAAGGUAUUGCUUAGUGACGACACCCGGAAGAUUUGAGACUGUAGCAAACGCCACGUGGCAGCCUGUGCGUGUCGACUGCCCGACAGAUUGCGGCCCAGCCCAUGCCCCCCUUUCACAGGGGUAGACGGCUUGCAGUGGGAGAGGGCUGUGAGACGGAGCGUGGCUAAGGCUAGCUCUGGGUCAGCGGGGCUUUCUUGCCAGGGUCACUUCUCCGAGCCAGUGCAAAUCCCGAUGCCUCAGCCCUUUCACAGAGUUAGUUCCCUCGGGAGGAGAACAAGAGCUAAGGGCUGGGGAACGUUCUAGAUGCUUACGAAUGGGGGUGACGCCAAAGCAGUUCAUGCUUGUCUGAAACCUCCCCCGGAAAGAGAACUGAUUUCCUUAGGGCUCCCCCACCCCGCCCUUGGGGCAGUGGGCCAGGAGGGCGGGGCUGGGUUUGUAGUGUCCAUCCGCAGAUUAUCCUCAGGGCUGAGAGGACAGACUGCCACUGGGCUCAGCGCUGGUGCAGGCUACUGCAUUCGCCCGAUCUGCAUGAAUGAUGGUGCUUAGCCUUUCUGGCUCGCCGGGGUGCUCCCCUCCCCCUGAGUGAUAUACCGGGGUGCUAGGAGCCAAGGGAUCACCUGGCCGUGGUGGUAGCUCUGGACAUACUGAAUGGGAAAUGGUGGCGGUGGGGGGAGCUUAAGGAACAAGUUCGUCCCACUGGCCUUUCGUCACCGGCUCAUGCCAUGACUUCUCUGCUCCGGUGAAUGUUCCUUUUGUGAAUGGUGCCGAGCCCAGUAGCAGUGGAGCUGGGGUGGGGGCCAGCGAGCCUGCUCUGAGUCCCUUGAGCCCCCGGAGAGGCUUGUGUGGUGUGAUCUCCUCGUGUCAGCGCGAGAGCUCGGGGCUCAGAGGGACCCAGGCUGUGCAUUGUCUCUAUCACCUGCAGGCGACGUUCUGGGGCUUUUCUCUGCCAUGCCUGUCCUGCGCAGCGGGUGUCAGGCUGUAAUAAGGGGAGCGUGCCUCAGGGAGAUUGGCUUGCCCCGAUGCCUGUGUGCCGGGCUGUGUGUUUAAAAACCUGUCAGCCUCCAAGAGCAACGUGGAGGGAAUGCCACCUCUCAGAACUCCCCUGAGCCACAGUCCUCCACCACCAUGCUAAGCAAGCGCCGCGUUCCCCUGGUAAACGUAACAACUCCAGCACUUUCCUGCUGCUGGGAGGUGGGUGGGAGCGCGCCCCAGGGAGGUCAGGGAGCAGCUUCUGCAGGCGGGGUGCUGUGGUGGGACUUGCAGGUCGGAUUCUUUUAGCAAAAUUAGCUGCAGGUGUGUUCCCGUUCAGUGAGGAGCUCUCCGAGAAGCCAGCUUGGAGGGCCUCGCGCCAGGAGCUGGCACCGGGCGAGUCCAGCUAGUUCCCAUGUGUGCCAGCACAGUGCGUGAACGCUGCAGCGUCUGUAGAGCGGGGGGGAAGGAAUCUCCUGGCUGUAUCUACCUACUUCUGACGAGAGAGGAGCCGAGGGAGCCAGGUGGGGGCAUAGAGUGCCCCGUUUGGUUCCAGGGGGUUAUUUCCUGCUUUCCUUUCCCCCUCACUUCCCAUCCCUGAGACAUUCCCUAGUGCGUGUGACAGAUGGAGCCUGCCUUAGCUAGGAACCUUCUGCGUCUCCCGCUUCACAGCCGCAGUUAGUUCCCUGUGGUUCUGUGCUGCUCCAUGGGCAUGCUGGGGAGAGCCCCCACGCCAAGCACCCUCAAUACGCCCAGCCUGCCGGGUUCAUGGUCAGGCCGUGGGGGAGAGCCAGAAGACGGAUCUUCACUGUUCUUUGGAAUUCCAUUUGUUUCCCUACUGGGCCCCUGCUCGCAAGACACCAGCUACUCAGACCGGGACAGAAAUAGCUUUGUCUCUCCAACAGCCCAGCGGCCGCCAGCUCAUGGCCUUUGCCCCAGCCAUCAGCUUAGAGCAAUUUCACAGUGUUCUCCUAACCCUGUUACCCAUUUCCUUCCUCUGCAUCUUCUGGCACACUCCUGCCCAGUAGAUCGGACGCAUUCAGCUCUGAUGGGCUGGCAGCUCCUUGGCUCGGUCACUACGGGCCCGUCUCCACCGCCUGUGGCCGCAAUCAACAGGCUCAGGCUGGUGGAGCUGGGGCUGCCGUGUGGCUCGGCCUGGGGCUCGGGCUCUGAAGGCCAGGAAGCGGGGUGGGCUUUGGAACCCGAGCUCCAGCCUGGGACGCCACACCAAAGCCCUGGCUGGACAGCGAGUGCCAGUGUGAGCCCUGCAAACCCGGGCUGGAGGCUCGCUGCUGCGGGCAGCGCAGACAGACCCCAAUAGCCUGACUCUCACCUGCCCUGGAGCUGUGGGCAGGAUUCCCUCCUAGCUGGUGUGAGUGAGGGGAGCGCGCUGGCUUGGUAGCUGUGUAGAUGCUUCUGCACAGGGGUGCAUGGCAGCAGGAGGGGCCGAGCGCUCUCCUAGGCCAGGACGGUGCUAGGGGCUGCGUUUGCAAAGUGCUUUAUUCUCCAGUUCGGUUAUUUAGGGUCACACAGGCCAGUUCUAGCCUCAGAAUAAUGAGCCAACAACAUUCCAAAUCCCGGCCCGAUCGCCCAAAGGCGUCUCCUCCCGACAGAUACCAGGAGCUGCCCCUGGCCUAUGACAGCAGCAUGGGCUAAACUCCAAGGAGGUGCAUCCCCCAC